rnacentral:rRNA from 1 species
AUUGAACGCUGGCGGCAGGCCUAACACAUUCAAGUCGAACGAGUGGCGGACGGGUGAGUAAUGUCUGGGAAACUUCCCGAUGGAGGGGGAUAACUACUGGAAACGGUAGCUAAUACCGCAUACCAUCGGAGGUGCCCAGAUGGGUUUAGCUAGUUGGUGGGGUAACGGCUCACCUAGGCGACGAUCCCUAGCUGGUCUGAGAGGAUGACCAGCAACACGGGAACGGAGACACGGGCCAGACACCUAGGGGAGGCAGCAGUGGGGAAUAUUGCACAAUGGGCGCAAGCCUGAUGAAGCCAUGCCGCGUGUAUGAAGAAGGCCUUCGGGUUGUAAAGUACUUUCAGCGAGGAGGCGUUACGCGCAGAAGAAGAACCGGCUAACUCCGUGCCAGCAGCCGCGGUAAUUC